CCUACGGGAGGCAGCAGUAGGGAAUAUUGCUCAAUGGGGGAAACCCUGAAGCAGCAACGCCGCGUGGAGGAUGAAGGUUCUCGGAUUGUAAACCCCCUUUGUUACAGAAGAUAACGACGGUAUCCAACGAUUAAGCACCGGCUAACACCGUGCCAGCAGCCGAGGGAAUACGGAGGCUGCAAGCGUUAUUCGGAAUCACUGGGCGUAAAGCGCGUGUAGGCGGGAUAACAAGUCAGAUGUGAAAUCCUAAGGCUUAACCUUAGAACUGCAUUUGAUACUUUUAUUCUAGAGUGUGGGAGAGGUAGGUGGAAUGCUUGGUGUAGGGGUGAAAUGCGUAGAGAUCAUACAGAAUACUGAUUGCGAAGGCGGCCUACUAGGACAUCACUGACGCUGAUGCGCGAAAGCGUGGGGAGCAAACAGGAUUAGAUACCCGAGUAGUC
rnacentral:rRNA from 1 species